GGAGGUAUACCUCAGUGGUAGGGUGCGUGCUUAGCAUAUGCAAGGUCCUGGGUUCAAUCCCCAUUACCUCCA
rfam:Camelus ferus unplaced genomic scaffold scaffold651, whole genome shotgun sequence.